GAGUUUGAUCAUGGCUCAGGAUGAACGCUGGCGGCGUGCCUAACACAUGCAAGUCGAACGGAGUUUAUGAGGAAGAAGCUUCGGCGGAAUUCUUAUAAACUUAGUGGCGGACGGGUGAGUAACACGUGGAGAACCUGGCCUCUUACCGGGGACAGCAGUUGGAAACGACUGAUAAUACCGCAUAAGCGCACGAGACCGCAUGGUCCUGUGUGAAAAGAUUUAUCGGUAAGAGAUGGCUCCGCGUCUGAUUAGCCAGUUGGCGGGGUAACGGCCCACCAAAGCGACGAUCAGUAGCCGGUCUGAGAGGGUGAACGGCCACAUUGGGACUGAGACACGGCCCAGACUCCUACGGGAGGCGGCAGUGGGGGAUAUUGCACAAUGGAGGAAACUCUGAUGCAGCGACGCCGCGUGAGUGAAGAAGUAUUCGGUAUGUAAAGCUCUAUCAGCA
rnacentral:rRNA from 1 species